GCUCUGCGGUCGCUGUCUUUGGUGCUCGACUCGAGAGCACCAGGUUCCCCCCUUAAUUACUGAUCUCCAGGUAAUUCCCCGUCCCUUGUUGGAUAUCGAGGUGCCUGUGCCAUGGCGUCUUCAAAUUGCCAGUGCUGCUUUAGUCAUGCAGGACUUCAGAAAAGGUCUUUCAUCUGUCUUAGGAUCAUUGAAUCGUUUAGGUUGGAAAAGACCCUUAAGAUGAUCGAGUGCCAUCGUUACCCUGGCGCUGCCAACUCCUCCACUAACCGUGUCCCCAAGCGCCACAUCUACACGUCUUUUAAAUCCCUCCGGGGAUGGUGACUCAACCCCUUCCCUGGGCAGCCUGUUCCAGUGCUCGACAACCCUUUGGGUGAAGGAAUUGUCCCCAAUAUCCCACCUAAACCUCCCCGGGCGCAACUUGAGGCCGUUUCCUCUCGUCCCGUCACUUGGGAGAAGAGCCCGACCCCCACCUCGCCACAACCUCCUUUCAGCCCCUUCUCUUGUCCUCCAGACCCUUCACCAGCUUCGUUGCUCUUCUUUGGAUGCGCUCCAGCACCUCAAGGUCUUUCUUGUAGUGAGGGCCCCAAAACUGAACACAGUAUUCGAGGUGCGGUCUCACCAGUGCCGAGUACAGGGGACCGAUCGCUUCCCCAGUCCUGCUGGCCACAUGAUUUCUGACACAAGCCAGGAUGCCGUUGGCCUUCUCGGCCACCCGGGCACGCUGCCGGCUCACAUUCAGCCGGCUGUCAACCAACACCCCCAGGUCCUUUUCCGCCGGGCAGCUUUCCAAGUGCAGGACCCGGCAUUCAGCCUUGUUGAACCUCAUACUGCUGGCCUCGGCCCAUCGAUCCAGCCUCUCCAGAUCCCUCUGUAGAGGGAUCCCUCCAGCAGAUCAGCGCUCCCGCCAUACUUGGUGUCAUCUGCAAACUUCCCGAGGGUGCGCUCGACCCCCUCAUGCAGACCGUUGAUAAAAGAUAUUAAACAGAACCGGCCCCAGUACUGAGCCCCGGGGAACACCACUGGUGACUGGCCGCUAACUGGAUUUAACUCCAUUCUCCAGCACUCUUUGGGCCUGACCAGCCAGCCAGUUAUUUACCCAGCGAAGAGUACGCCCACCCAAGCCAUGAGCAGCUGGUUUCUGCAGGAGAACGCUGUGGGAAACGGCGUCAAAGGCUUUGCUAAAGUCUAAGCAGACAACAUCCAACAUCUUCUCCUCCUUCCUCUUUGCAAAGUUGUCAAGACGAGCUUUUAAAACACAAGUUUGCAUCCGUUACUGUUGCAGGAAAGCUCUGCCAGGAUUUAUCCGCGUUAGGAAUCACUGCAGAGGAAUUCUCUUGGCAGUUCAUAGCCAAUAAACAUCUAUUUGUGUAUAUGUCAACACCA